UGCGGGGGGAGCAAGCGUUGUUCGGAUUCAUUGGGCGUAAAGGGCGCGUAGGUGGCUUGGUUAGUCCGACGUGAAAUGUACCGGUUCAACCGGGGCACUGUGGCGGAAACUGCCGAGCUUGAGGCCGAGGGAGGAAGGUGGAAUUCCUGGUGUAGCGGUGAAAUGCGUAGAUAUCAGGAGGAACACCCGUGGCGAAGGCGACCUUCUAUCUCGGAUCUGACACUGAGGCGCGAAAGCCAGGGGAGCAAACGGG
rnacentral:rRNA from 1 species